AGAGUUUGAUCCUGGCUCAGAACGAACGCUGGCGGCGUGCUUAACACAUGCAAGUCGAGUGCGCGUACCGUAGCAAUACGGUAUGGCGCACGGCGCACGGGUGCGUAACACGUGGGCAAUCUGCCCUUCGAUGGGGAAUAACUCUGGGAAACCGAAGCUAAUUCCGCAUAACAUUCCUUGGACUUUGGUUCGAGGACUCAAAGCCGGAAGGCGUCGAAGGAGGAGCCCGCGCACGAUUAGCUAGUUGGUAGGGUAACGGCCUACCAAGGCUUUGAUCGUUAGCUGGUCUGAGAGGAUGGCCAGCCACACUGGAACUGAGACACGGUCCAGACUCCUACGGGAGGCAGCAGUGGGGAAUCUUGCACAAUGGGCGAAAGCCUGAUGCAGCGACGCCGCGUGGGGGAUGAAGCAUUUCGGUGUGUAAACCCCUUUCGACUGGGACGAAUGCCUCGCAAGAGGAGUGACGGUACCAGUAGAAGAAGCCCCGGCUAACUACGUGCCAGCAGCCGCGGUAAGACGUGGGGGGCCAGCGUUGUUCGGAAUUACUGGGUGUAAAGGGUUCGUAGGCGGUGUGGCAAGUUGGGAGUGAAAUCUCUGGGCUCAACCCAGAGGCUGCUUCCAAAACUGCUGUGCUUGAGUGUGGGAGAGGCGCGUGGAAUUGCAGGUGUAGCGGUGAAAUGCGUAGAUAUCUGCAGGAACACCCGUGGCGAAAGCGGCGCGCUGGACCACAACUGACGCUGAGGAACGAAAGCUAGGGGAGCAAACAGGAUUAGAUACCCUGGUAGUCCUAGCCCUAAACCAUCAGGACUUGGGGUGGCCCGCGUAGGCGGGUCGUCCCGUAGCUAACGCGUUAAGUCCUGCGCCUGGGGAGUACGGUCGCAAGACUGAAACUCAAAGGAAUUGACGG
rnacentral:rRNA from 1 species